UGAGUAACACGUAUCCAACCUGCCGAUGACUCGGGGAUAGCCUUUCGAAAGAAAGAUUAAUACAAGAUGGCAUCAUGAGUCCGCAUGUUCACAUGAUUAAAGGUAUUCCGGUAGACGAUGGGGAUGCGUUCCAUUAGAUAGUAGGCGGGAUAACGGCCCACCUAGUCUUCGAUGGAUAGGGGUUCUGAGAGGAAGGUCCCCCACAUUGGAACUGAGACACGGUCCAA
rnacentral:rRNA from 1 species